rnacentral:rRNA from 1 species
UACAGAGGGUGCGAGCGUUAAUCGGAAUUACUGGGCGUAAAGCGCGCGUAGGCGGCUUUGCAAGUCGGGUGUGAAAUCCCCAGGCUUAACCUGGGAACUGCAUUCGAGACUGCAUUGCUAGAGUAUGGGAGAGGGAAGUGGAAUUUCCGGUGUAGCGGUGAAAUGCGUAGAUAUCGGAAGGAACAUCAGUGGCGAAAGCGACUUCCUGGACCAAUACUGACGCUCAUGUGCGAAAGCGUGUGGAGCAAACAGG